rnacentral:rRNA from 1 species
CCGUGCAAAGGUAGCACAAUCACUUGUCUCUUAAAUCGGGACCUGUAUGAAUGGCAUCACGAGGAUUUAACUGUCUCCCUUCAUCAAUCAGUGAAACUAAUCUCCCUGUGAAAAAGCAGGAGUAUAAAUACAAGACGAGAAGACCCUAUGGAGCUUAAAACUAAUAACACUUGCUCUUUAUUCCCUAUUCCAGAAUAAUAAUCUUAUAGCACCGUGAUUAUAAGUUUUUGGUUGGGGUGACCAUGGAAAAAAACUAAACUUCCAUGCUGCUUAUUAAAUUUAAGAACUUCAUUUCUACAAAUCAAUAAAUUGACAUAAUUGACCCAAAUACUUGAUCAACGAACCAAGUUACCCUAGGGAUAACAGCGCCUCCACUUCAAAAGCACAUAUNAACAAGUGGGCUUACGACCUCGAUG